rnacentral:rRNA from 1 species
GAUGAACGCUGGCGGCGUGCCUAAUACAUGCAAGUCGAGCGAAUGGAUUAAGAGCUUGCUCUUAUGAAGUUAGCGGCGGACGGGUGAGUAACACGUGGGUAACCUGCCCAUAAGACUGGGAUAACUCCGGGAAACCGGGGCCAAUACCGGAUAACAUUUUGAACCGCAUGGUUCGAAAUUGAAAGGCGGCUUCGGCUGUCACUGAUGGAUGGACCCGGGUCGCAUUAGCUAGUUGGUGAGGUAACGGCUCACCAAGGCAACGAUGCGUAGCCGACCUGAGAGGGUGAUCGGCCACACUGGGACUGAGACACGGCCCAGACUCCUACGGGAGGCAGCAGUAGGGAAUCUUCCGCAAUGGACGAAAGUCUGACGGAGCAACGCCGCGUGAGUGAUGAAGGCUUUCGGGUCGUAAAACUCUGUUGUUAGGGAAGGACAAGUGCUAGUUGAAUAAGCUGGCACCUUGACGGUACCUAACCAGAAAGCCACGGCUAACUACGUGCCAGCCGCCGCAGUAA